GACGAACCGUGCAAACGUUAUUCGGAAUCACUGGGCUUAAAGGGCGCGUAGGCGGGUCGGACAGUCUGCGGUGAAAUCCUCCAGCUUAACUGGAGAACUGCCGUGGAUACUCCCGAUCUCGAGGAGGGUAGGGGCAUCUGGAACAGCCGGUGGAGCGGUGAAAUGCGUUGAUAUCGGCUGGAACUCCGGUGGCGAAGGCGAGAUGCUGGACCCUUUCUGACGCUGAGGCGCGAAAGCCAGGGGAGCGAACGGG
rnacentral:rRNA from 1 species